rnacentral:rRNA from 1 species
CUCCAGUUGGAUGCAUGUCUUUCUGGGAAAGAUUCAUCGGUAUGGGAUGGGGUCGCGUCCUAUCAGCUUGAUGGCGGGGUAACGGCCCACCAUGGCUUCGACGGGUAGCCGGCCUGAGAGGGCGACCGGCCACAUUGGGACUGAGAUACGGCCCAGACUCCUACGGGAGGCAGCAGUGGGGAAUAUUGCACAAUGGGCGCAAGCCUGAUGCAGCGACGCCGCGUGCGGGAUGACGGCCUUCGGGUUGUAAACCGCUUUUGACUGGGAGCAAGCCCUUCGGGGUGAGUGUACCUUUCGAAUAAGCACCGGCUAACUACGUGCCAGCAGCCGCGGUAAUACGUAGGGUGCAAGCGUUAUCCGGAAUUAUUGGGCGUAAAGGGCUCGUAGGCGGUUCGUCGCGUCCGGCGUGAAAGUCCAUCGCUUAACGGUGGAUCCGCGCCGGGUACGGGCGGG